GUGUUGUAUGAAAGGAGAGAAGGUUAGCACUUCCCUUAACAAGGAGGGAAGAGGCCCUUGGGCCUAACAACACGUAUGUGUUCAUGGCAUCUAACCACUGUUUAU
ensembl:snRNA